AGCCUCUUGCGUUCCUGUGUGAUGGGGCCGGAGCCAGUAAACAGGCUUCCUUCUCGCUCUGCUGUAUAAGAAGAAGAAGUAGGAGAAACAAAAUAAGGAGGAGAAGAAGUAAAAUAAUUUGAGAAGGAAUAUGAAGUCCAUCGUCACUCCAUCUUCCAUGAAAUCAAUGCCAGUAAAACAUCAUUGGAAUCUAUUGGCUACAAAAUAUUCCCCUGCGCUAAAGUCAUGGCAUAAAAGGGGCUGAAAUCCUGGGCUUUCUGGGCAGAAGGAUCUACGAGCGGGAUCGUGGGUGAAACAUGAAGAUGAUGGUGGACAGGUGAGCUACGCAGUUCGUGGAAGAACCAGGGGUCACAUGGCCUAGAUGCUACCCUAGAUGAGAAAGAGUCCAAUGGUUAUCAACAAGUUCUGAAAGGCAAGGCCUAAGGUACUGAAAAUUAUAUUACUCAAAGCUGAAGGCAGCAAAUCUGUUCAUGUUUACACAGUUGGGAAAGUGGACUUGUGUUUUUUACAAGCAAACCAGUGACCAGCCAAUGGCAGGAGACCUUCCCCACCCCUAAAGGUGAUGCUCACCUACCGUCAUGGGUAAAAGGAAGCUCUGGCUCGAAUUCCUCAUGUAUUAUUCAUGUGUGAUGCCACCCAACGUGAUUCAGAGAAGAAAAUUCUCAGUGUGUUCACCAGAGGUGAUUACAUGAGAAUAAAGCACGGCCUGAUUUUUUUUCUUGUUCACAGGAAAAAAAAAA
rnacentral:lncRNA from 1 species